ACGAACGCUGGCGGCGUGCUUAACACAUCCAAGUCGAACGGAAAGGCCCUGCUUUUGUGGGGUGCUCGAGUGGCGAACGGGUGAGUAACACGUGAGUAACCUGCCCUUGACUUUGGGAUAACUUCAGGAAACUGGGGCUAAUACCGGAUAGGAGCUCCUGCUGCAUGGUGGGGGUUGGAAAGUUUCGGCGGUUGGGGAUGGACUCGCGGCUUAUCAGCUUGUUGGUGGGGUAGUGGCUUACCAAGGCUUUGACGGGUAGCCGGCCUGAGAGGGUGACCGGCCACAUUGGGACUGAGAUACGGCCCAGACUCCUACGGGAGGCAGCAGUGGGGAAUAUUGCACAAUGGGCGGAAGCCUGAUGCAGCAACGCCGCGUGCGGGAUGACGGCCUUCGGGUUGUAAACCGCUUUCGCCUGUGACGAAGCGUGAGUGACGGUAAUGGGUAAAGAAGCACCGGCUAACUACGUG
rnacentral:rRNA from 1 species